rnacentral:rRNA from 1 species
UACGUAGGGUGCAAGCGUUGUCCGGAAUUAUUGGGCGUAAAGAGCUCGUAGGCGGUCUGUCGCGUCGGCUGUGAAAACCCGGGGCUCAACCCCGGGCCUGCAGUCGAUACGGGCAGACUAGAGUGCGGUAGGGGGAGACUGGAAUUCCUGGUGUAGCGGUGGAAUGCGCAGAUAUCAGGAGGAACACCAAUGGCGAAGGCAGAUCUCUGGGCCGUAACUGACGCUGAGGAGCGAAAGCGUGGGGGAGCGAACAGG